rnacentral:lncRNA from 1 species
AAUUCAACAGUAAUUCAUCAAUUUCUACAAGUGUCUUUGUUGGGAGAUGUCUCUAAUACUAACGCUUGUUAAAUAACCAGUUAAAUUGCUUAUUCUUGCUUGACUUAAUUUUAGAGGGGCCUAGAAUGUUAUUAGCCUUGUAUGAAUUUUCCAGCUUUUUGGAAUUUUAUAUGAGGAAUUUCGAUUAUAUGGAGAAGGCAUGGUGGCAGAUACACGUGUGACUGUGAUAAUUCCUAUGCUUGGCCCAGGGAGUGGCAUUAUUUGGAAGUUCAGUCUUGCUGGAGAAGGUGUGGUCUUAUUGGAGUGGUUAUGUCAUGUGGGCGUGGGCUUAAUAUUCUAGUCCUAGCUGCCUGGAAGCCAGUAUUCUGCUAGCACUCUUCAGAUGAAGAUUUAGAACACUCAGCUCCUCCUGCACCAUGUCUGCCCAGACCCUGCCAUGCUCCCACCUUGAUGAUAAUAGACUGAACCUGUGAACCAGUAAGCCAAUUCCAAUUAAAUGUUGUCCUUAUAAGAGUUGCCUUGAUCAUGGUGUCUGAUCACAGCAGUAAAAACAUAACUAAGACAAUGACCGUGUGUCUGGUGCUCAGUUCACAUUCUCCUUUUUGUUCAGUUCUGAAUCAUAGCCCAUGGGAUGAUACUGUCUUCCUAGUUCUAAUUUCGUGGAAAGACCUUCAUAGAUAUGCCCCUGGUAUAUUUCUUCAUGAUGAUUCGAAACAUUGUCAAAUAGAUCGU